GUCGGGUGCAGUGGUGCUCACCUGUAAUCCCAGUGGCUCAGGAGGCUGAGGCAGGAGGACCGGGAGUUCAAAGCCAGCCUCAGCAACAUCGAGGCACUAAGCAACUCAGUGAGACCCUGUCUCUA
rnacentral:sRNA from 1 species